UACGGGGGGAGCAAGCGUUGUUCGGAUUUACUGGGCGUAAAGGGCGCGUAGGCGGUGAAUCGGGUUGAAAGUGAAAGUCGCCAAAAAGUGGCGGAAUGCUCUCGAAACCAAUUCACUUGAGUGAGACAGAGGAGAGUGGAAUUUCGUGUGUAGGGGUGAAAUCCGUAGAUCUACGAAGGAACGCCAAAGCCGAAGGCAGCUCUCUGGGUCCCUACCGACGCUGGGGUGCGAAAGCAUGGGGAGCGAACAGG
rnacentral:rRNA from 1 species